rnacentral:rRNA from 1 species
UGGGGGAUAUUGCACAAUGGGCGAAAGCCUGAUGCAGCGACGCCGCGCGGGGGAUGAAGGCCUUCGGGUUGUAAACUUCUUUUGCUCUGAACAAGGCAUGCCUUUGGGGUGUGUUGAGUGUAGGGGUUGAUUAGCGCCGGCUAACUACGUGCCAGCAGCCGCGGUAAUACGUAGGGCGCGAGCGUUGUCCGGAAUUAUUGGGCGUAAAGGGCUUGUAGGUGGCUGGUUGCGUCUGUCGUGAAAGCUCAUGGCUUAACUGUGGGUUUGCGGUGGGUACGGGCUGGCUUGAGUGCAGUAGGGGAGGCUGGAAUUCCUGGUGUAGCGGUGGAAUGAGGAGAUAUCAGGAGGAAUACCGGUGGCGAAGGCGGGGCUCUGAGCUGUAAAUGACGCUGAGGAGCGAAAGCGUGGGGAGCGAACAGG